GAUGAACGCUAGCUACAGGCUUAACACAUGCAAGUCGAGGGGAAACGGCAUCGAAAGCUUGCUUUUGAUGGGCGUCGACCGGCGCACGGGUGAGUAACGCGUAUCCAACCUGCCCAUCACUUGGGAAUAACCUUGCGAAAGUAAGACUAAUGCCCAAUGACAUCCCACGAAGGCAUCCGAAUGGGAUUAAAGAUUUAUCGGUGAUGGAUGGGGAUGCGUCUGAUUAGCUUGUUGGCGGGGUGACGGCCCACCAAGGCAACGAUCAGUAGGGGUUCUGAGAGGAAGGUCCCCCAAAUUGGAACUGAGACACGGGCCAAACUCCUACGGGAGGCAGCAGUGAGGAAUAUUGGUCAAUGGGCGAGAGCCUGAACCAGCCAAGUAGCGUGCAGGAUGACGGCCCUAUGGGUUGUAAACUGCUUUUAUAAGGGAAUAAAGUGGGUCACGUGUGACUUUUUGCAUGUACCUUAUGAAUAAGGACCGGCUAAUUCCGUG
rnacentral:rRNA from 1 species